AACGAACGCUGGCGGCAGGCCUAACACAUGCAAGUCGAGCGGACCCUUCGGGGUUAGCGGCGGACGGGUGAGUAACGCGUGGGAAUAUGCCCUUCUCUACGGAAUAGUCCUGGGAAACUGGGGGUAAUACCGUAUACGCCCUUUGGGGGAAAGAUUUCUCGGGGAAGGAUUAGCGCGCGUUGGAUUAGGUAGUUGGUGGGGUAAUGGCCUACCAAGCCGACGAUCCAUAGCUGGUUUGAGAGGAUGAUCAGCCACACUGGGACUGAGACACGGCCCAGACUCCUACGGGAGGCAGCAGUGGGGAAUCUUAGACAAUGGGGGCAACCCUGAUCUAGCCAUGCCGCGUAAGUGAUGAAGGCCUUAGGGUUGUAAAGCUCUUUCAGCUGGGAAGAUAAUGACGGUACCAGCAGAAGAAGCCCCGGCUAACUCCGUG
rnacentral:rRNA from 1 species